rnacentral:rRNA from 1 species
GUCUAUGCCCCUAUCACCUUUACCAUUCCUGUUCUCAUUUAGUCUCGGAAACCAAUUAGGGUCAGGCUAGGUUAAUACCUGGUUGGGAGAUUACCUAGGAAUUCCAUGUGCUGUACACU